AGUCACUGUAACUGUCUUUCUCGCGUAUGUCUCUCGAGUCACGAGAAUCCCUUGAUUGUUCGUGGUAGUCGUUUGCCACCAUGUGACGAUAUGAUCUUGCAUCAUAUUCUCCAAAAUAUGCCGAAUCGCCUGCCGGAGGCUUGCGAGGCAUUUUAUCUUCUUCAGACAAUGUAGUCUCAGUUGCGGAUAUCCAUGACGAAAUUUAGAGUUACCUCCUCCUGAAUAGAAAUCGAAGAAAUCUCACUUCCUUAUUUGAACGAAUAUUGAGCUGUAUUCCAAAAUUUCAAGUAAAGAUCACUUUAGUAGAAACUUUCCCAUCCGCACAACACUGUGUUGUUGAUGUCAAGACGAACAGAACGAUGAAAUAUUUCUUCAAAAAUGGCGACGUAAUAUUGUCGUUGUCAGAUAUUGUACUUUACCAAUGUUAGCAAAAUAACGUUAUGGUACAAGAAAAUUAGAAUAGUCUUUCCACGAAUCGGUUUAUUACAAUCAGUUUUACUUUUAAACUGUAUUUUGAGAUCUUGAUGUCUUAAUUUUACAACGAUAUUUUCUGAUUUUCUCCUAAGUAAUUUAGGUACCCUAACACAUAAUUUUAGCUAUAUGCCGAAUUGCAUUGUGGGUCAAACACACAGUUUGAUGACGUAGUUCUCACGGAAGUGAUAGCAAAAAGUAGUUUAUUCAACAAUUUUGACAUUUCCUUGACUUUUUAAAGAUGUAAACAGAAUAUGUGCUCUAAGAAUUUAGACAGAUAGCAUUCACACAAAGACACGGUAUGUUCAUAUAUGAUUUAACACAUGACUACAUCAGCUGUUUCUUGUCUCUGAUUAUGUUACAAAGAAAAAGAGUGUUAUCAUUAAGAAUUUAAAAUGAUGAUGUAUUUUGUUUUUGCCAGGGAAAUUUUCAUUAACUUUUUGAGGGCAAAUAAUUAUUUCGGACAAUUGUUAUUAUGGAAAUCUUUUGUAUUCAUAUUUGCCAUGGUUGUUUUAUCGUUUGCAGUAUGUCUGUCCGAAGAUAUUUUAUUAUUUAUAAAUGCAACACACUU
rnacentral:misc_RNA from 1 species